GCACAAGCGGUGAGCAUGUGGAUUAAUUCGAUGCAACGCGAAAACCUUACCUACCCUUGACAUGUCUGGAACCUUGGUGAGAGCCGAGGGUGCCUUCGGGAGCCAGAACACAGGUGCUGCAUGGCUGUCGUCAGCUCGUGUCGUGAGAUGUUGGGUUAAGUCCCGCAACGAGCGCAACCCUUGUCACUAGUUGCCAUCAUUUAGUUGGGCACUCUAGUGAGACUGCCGGUGACAAACCGGAGGAAGGUGGGGAUGACGUCAAGUCCUCAUGGCCCUUAUGGGUAGGGCUUCACACGUCAUACAAUGGUCGGUACAGAGGGUUGCCAAGCCGCGAGGUGGAGCCAAUCCCACAAAGCCGAUCGUAGUCCGGAUUGUUCUCUGCAACUCGAGAGCAUGAAGUCGGAAUCGCUAGUAAUCGCAGGUCAGCAUACUGCGGUGAAUACGUUCCCGGGUCUU
rnacentral:rRNA from 1 species